AGAGUUUGAUUCUGGCUCAGGAUGAACGCUGGCGGCGUGCCUAACACAUGCAAGUCGAGCGAUUACUUCGGUAAAGAGCGGCGGACGGGUGAGUAACGCGUGGGUAACCUGCCUCAUACACAUGGAUAACAUACCGAAAGGUAUGCUAAUACAAGAUAAUAUAAGAGAUUCACAUGGAUUUCUUAUCAAAGCUCCGGCGGUAUGAGAUGGACCCGCGUCUGAUUAGCUAGUUGGUAAGGUAAUGGCUUACCAAGGCGACGAUCAGUAGCCGACCUGAGAGGGUGAUCGGCCACAUUGGAACUGAGACACGGUCCAAACUCCUACGGGAGGCAGCAGUGGGGAAUAUUGCACAAUGGGCGAAAGCCUGAUGCAAGCAACGCCGCGUGAGUGAUGAAGGCCUUCGGGUCGUAAAACUCUGUCCUCAAGGAAGAUAAUGACGGUACUUGAGGAGGAAGCCCCGGCUAACUACGUGCCAGCAGCAGC
rnacentral:rRNA from 1 species